rnacentral:rRNA from 1 species
AACGGCCAUACCAUGCUGAAUAUACCGGUUCUCGUUAGAUCACCGAAGUCAAGCAUCAUUGGGCGCGGUCAGUACUUGGGUGGGUGACCACCUAGGGGAACACCGCGUGCCGU